rnacentral:rRNA from 1 species
UUUGGACAAUGGGCGCAAGCCUGANCCAGCAACGCCGCGUGGAGGAUGAAGGUCUUCGGAUCGUAAACUCCUGUCAGGUGGGACGAAGGCUGCGGGGUGAAUAAUCUUGCAGUUUGACGGUACCACCAGAGGAAGCCCCGGCUAACUCCGUGCCAGCAGCCGCGGUAAUACGGAGGGGGCGAGCGUUAUUCGGAAUUAUUGGGCGUAAAGGGCGCGUAGGCGGCUUUCUAAGUCAAAGGUGAAAUCCCUCGGCUCAACUGAGGAACUGCCUUUGAAACUGGAAGGCUUGAGGCCGGGAGGGGGUAGCGGAAUUCCCAGUGUAGCNGGUGAAAUGCGUAGAUAUUGGGAGGAACACCAGUGGCGAAGGCGGCUACCUGGACCGGUUCUGACGCUGAUGCGCGAAAGCGUGGGUAGCAAACAGGAUUAGAUACCCUGGUAGUCCACGCUGUAAACGAUGGGUGCUCGGUGUCGCGGGUAUCGACCCCUGCGGUGCCUUAGCUAACGCGUUAAGCACCCCGCCUGGGGAGUACGGUCGCAAGGCUGAAACUCAAAGAAAUUGACGGA